AUGGUUGGACGACGCCAGACUGCCAAGAGUACUCCUUCUAGUGGCCAUGAAGGGAGGAUGACUGAUCCCAAGUAUCCUGAGCUGACACCUCUCCUUGAGAUGGUGCACAGGAGGAGGGUUGAGAGGGAAGCGGUUGAGGCUGAAAUGGCGUCCAGAAAAAAGAGAGGGGCUGAGCUCAAGAAACCCACACAAGGUGGGGCUCCCGGGGAGGAAGAACAGAGCGAACUGAGAACUGUUCUGGAGUCGGCGUCACGUCGAUUGGGCAGCGGCGGUGGACAUGAUGUAAAAAGGGACAUGCUGGCACUGUUUGAGGCAUCAAUUAGGGUGGCUUCUAAGAGGCAAAGCAAGAUGACAGAUAUUCCGCAUUUUUACUUACCUGAGAAAGCCACCUUUGCUGAUCUCAUGAAACUAAAAAUGGAGAAGCUUCAGCGCUAUGAAAGUGUAAAAUCGUUCGACAUCGAAGGUCUAUCACCUGUGACGCCCCCCACAGAACUGGACACAUAUCAGAUUAUCGAUAUCACCCGUCCAAGUGACACUGACCCUGAAAAGGCAAUAUCAGUGGCCCAAAUUCUAUCCCGUGAAACAGACAAUUACUUUGCUGCAGUGCGGCCAACUCCUGAUCCUACAGCGGCUGGAGGGUUUUUUGUAUUCUCCAAUAUUAUUUUGCCAUGGUUCUUUGGAAAAUGUCAUCAAAUGUCUUGUAGUUCGAGAUAUGCGAAGAUAGAGAAUAUGCAGGUUUGUCGUGAUAGCAUAUACUUGUUGGUUGAAGAAAUCCUCCGCCUUGAUGAUGAGAACUGCAAGCAUAUUACUGGUUACAUGAUAUCGCUGCUCGAAAUAGGAAUGUUCUUGUUUGGAGAAUUUCCUAGAAUGCAAGGACCAGUUGAUCUACUCCAGGACAAUUUUGACUUGGAUCUCAUCAUUCAUUUGACAGCUGAAGUUCUGUUUGAUAUGAGAAACUGGUCGUAUCUCUCGAAGACGGGAUUUGCAUUUUAUCUCGGAAUGGUAGAAACAUGGUUAGAUGUGAUUGGGCACAAGGAAACGUUUCUGGCAGGUUGGAAGAAGAUGACUGCCGCGGUGACCAAAUUUGAAAAGAGUGGACACAAGCUGGACCUCCUUGGUGCCAAUGGUUAUUUCUCUUUGAGAAAACUGGUCGGGAACCGAUUGCAUCUUCUAAAGUUUGACGAAGAAUAUGUGAAGAGACUAAUAAUCAGAAAAUGUAGGCAACACAAGGGAAGAAUGGAAGCCUUGAAAGAAGAUACCAAUCAAGUUCAGUUGAAAGACCAUGAGGGAGAGAAUAAGAAUGGAGAGACGGUGGAGCCGGAAAUUGCUGAUGAUCUGGCUUGGAAAAAGGCUAAGAAAGAAUAUGAGUAUUGGUUGAGCUUGAUGGUUGAAGACAGAGAUAUGCUGAUCAAAGUUCUCUGUGAGCUGAAUGUGGAUCUGUUUGACAAGGAUCAGAGUGAAGUUCCCAGAGUUGUAUGGUAG
rnacentral:rRNA from 1 species